rnacentral:lncRNA from 1 species
CGCCCAAGCUGCUGGAAUCUUCCUCUCUCGAAUCCAGAAAGGCUCUCGCCCUCUCCACCCCGAGGAACCCACCCCUUUCGCUCCCGCAGCCUCCUCCUCCAUCCCAAAACAACACCGCUGCUCCCGGCAGAGCAGACAAAUGGAGAAACAAGCCCAGCGACAGCCGCUGAAUGAAUAAGACCCUCGCCGCGCCCCGCAUGGAACAGCAAUAUCAAAGGUGACGACUGUAUUUUUCAACACCUUUACUCUUUUAUGUGUGUCCUUGACUCUGGCAACUGGGUUGUCUGCCUCCUGGGGAGCCCCGGGGAGCGGAGGAGAGUGCUCCUGCUCCCCUCAGAGCUGAGUAAUGGUCCCCAUGCUGCUGGAGAAUGGCAAACAGUGUGGAGUGUGGGCGACAGGCGCCCUGUCACUGUCUGCACAGUCUCACACGGUCACACCCAACAGUCUGACCCAGCUCCUGCUCAGCCCCGCUCACCCUGACCCCUGCCGCCCCCACCUUGGGAGUGAGAUUUC